UAGGGAAUAUUGCACAAUGGGCGAAAGCCUGAUGCAGCAACGCCGCGUGAGUGAUGAAGGCCUUCGGGUUGUAAAGCUCCGUCUUCUGGGACGAUAAUGACGGUACCAGAGGAGGAAGCCACGGCUAACUACGUGCCAGCAGCCGCGGUAAUACGUAGGUGGCAAGCGUUGUCCGGAUUUACUGGGCGUAAAGGAUGCGUAGGCGGAUACUUAAGUCAGAUGUGAAAAUCCCGGGCUUAACUUGGGAACUGCAUUUGAAACUGGGUAUCUAGAGUGCGGGAGAGGAAAGUGGAAUUCCUAGUGUAGCGGUGAAAUGCGUAGAGAUUAGGAAGAACACCAGUGGCGAAGGCGACUUUCUGGACCGUAACUGACGCUGAGGCAUGAAGGCGUGGGGAGCAAACA
rnacentral:rRNA from 1 species